UAAAAAUAAAAUAAAAUAAAAUAACCAUUUACCAGAGACUGAUCCCCUUUUAAGCAGCUGUAUGCAAAAUCCAAGAAAAUUGGUUCUACUUUCAGUUUUAUGAAUCUCAAACAUAAUCUAGUAGGAAGGCUUACUAGAGAUUUAUCCCCUGGUAGACAUGUUAUGAUAAACUAUUAGGCACAAGAUGAAUACAGAGAAAGAUUCACUUGGUGAUACUUUAACAGGAAAGCAAGGUUAGAAUAGCUAUAAAUGUCAAGUAGCCAAGGAUUGAUGAAAAAAAGCUUUUCUAGAUAAAGAGUAUUGAUUGUUCCAAACUCAUCAAGACAAAAGAAACCCGAAGGGCAAUUGUAUGUACUUUUGGAAACUCAAGCAAGGUGUCCAAAACUGACAAUCUAAUUUACUUCCUAACCUUUUGGCUAUAGAUCAGCAACAAUCAGGUUACAAGCUAAUCAUGGUCA
rnacentral:misc_RNA from 1 species